rnacentral:rRNA from 1 species
UACGUAGGGCGCAAGCGUUGUCCGGAAUUAUUGGGCGUAAAGAGCUCGUAGGCGGUUUGUCGCGUCUGCUGUGAAAACCUGAGGCUCAACCUCGGGCUUGCAGUGGGUACGGGCAGACUAGAGUGCGGUAGGGGUGACUGGAAUUCCUGGUGUAGCGGUGGAAUGCGCAGAUAUCAGGAGGAACACCGAUGGCGAAGGCAGGUCACUGGGCCGCAACUGACGCUGAGGAGCGAAAGCUAGGGGAGCAAACGGG